AUGGUUUUGUUCGUUCUCAUCAUCUUUAGGCCUUGUUUGGUUAAUCGUCCUCCCAAGGGGAUUGGAGAGGAUUGGAGGGGAUUUAAUCCACCUCAACCCUUGCCAAUCCCCUUCAAAUCCACCUCAAACCGAACAAAGACUAAAGGAAUUGCAGACGAGCACAUGGGUUCACACUUGGGAGCUUUUACAUCCUCUCCUAUUCCACAUCAGUCUUCCAAUUUGCCGAUGCAGAAAUCCUCAAUGAUGUCGAAGACUCAUGUGCCAUGCUGCAGGCUGAAAUUGCGUCAAGUUAGUAUAGUUAUGUGA
rnacentral:rRNA from 1 species